AUUCCAAUCGAACCCGGAGAUAGCUGGUUCUCCCCGAAAUAGCUUUAGGGCUAGCCUGAGGUAGUAAGUAUAGGCGGUAGAGCACUGAUCGGGCUAGGGGCCGUAAAGGUUACCGAACCCUGUCAAACUCCGAAUGGAUAUACUGUAGAGCCUUGGAGUCAGACUACGAGUGAUAAGAUCCGUGGUCAAAAGGGAAACAGCCCAGACCACCAGCUAAGGUCCCCAAUGUCGUACUAAGUGGAAAAGGAUGUGGGGUUUCAUAAACAACCAGGAUGUUGGCUCAGAAGCAGCCACCAUUUAAAGAGUGCGUAAUAGCUCACUGGUCGAGAGACCCUGCGCCGAAGAUUCCCGGGGCUAAAGUACGAAACCGAAGCUGUGGCUGUAUACGUAAAGUAUACGGGGUAGGGGAGCGUUCCCAUAGGGUAGAAGUCGAACUGGAAGGUUCGGUGGACUUGUGGGAAGUGAGAAUGUUGGUAUGAGUAGCGAAAAGAAAGGUGAGAAUCCUUUCCACCGAAAGCAUAAGGAUUCCUGAGCAACGAUCGUCGUCUCAGGGUAAGUCGGGACCUAAUCCGAGGCAGAGAGCGUAGGAGAUGGACAACUGGUUGAUAUUCCAGUACCGGUAGUAAUUGUUUGAGCAAUGGAGUGACACAGAAGGGCAGGCAAGCAUGCGAAUGGAAGAGCAUGUGUAAGCGUGUAGGGUGGUGCAUAGGCAAAUCCGUGCACUGAAAGCCUGAGGCGUGAUGCGGAGUGAGCAGAGAUGCGAGCGAAGUUGUUGACCCCACACUGUCGAGAAAAGCUUCUAGUGAGAGAGCUACCGCCCGUACCGUAAACCGACACAGGUAUGCGGGGAGAGAAUCCUAAGGUGCGCGGGAGAACCCUCGUUAAGGAACUCGGCAAAAUGUACCCGUAACUUCGGGAUAAGGGUAGCCACUGUUGUGAAGUCCCAUGCGGAUGGAGCAUAGAGUGGUCGCAGAGAAGAGGCCCAAGCGACUGUUUACCAUAAACACAGGUGCCUGCUAAAGCGAAAGCUGACGUAUAGGUGCUGACACCUGCCCAGUGCCGGAAGGUUAAGGAAGGAUGUUCGGAUUAGUCCAAAGCAUUCGACUGAAGCCCCGGUGAACGGCGGCCGUAACUAUAACGGUCCUAAGGUAGCGAAAUUCCUUGUCGGGUAAGUUCCGACCCGCACGAAAGGUGUAACGAUUUGGGCACUGUCUCAACGAGGGACCCGGUGAAAUUGAAAUACCUGUGAAGAUGCAGGUUACCCGCGACUGGACAGAAAGACCCCAUGGAGCUUUACUGUAACCUGACAUUGGGUUUUGAUACAUUACGUACAGGAUAGGUGGGAGGCAUGGAAAGCUGGACGCUAGUCUGGCUGGAGCCGACGUUGGGAUACCACCCUUGAUGUAUUGAAAUUCUAACCGCGAGAGUAACGAAAUCCGGGACAGUGUCAGGCGGGCAGUUUGACUGGGGCGGUCGCCUCCGAAAGAGUAACGGAGGCGCCCAAAGGUUCCCUCAGCGCGGCCGGAAAUCGCGCGAAGAGUGUAAAGGCAGAAGGGAGCUUGACUGCGAGUCAAACACGACGAGCAGGUACGAAAGUAGGGCUUAGUGAUCCGGUGGUACCGAGUGGAAGGGCCAUCGCUCAACGGAUAAAAGCUACCCUGGGGAUAACAGGCUAAUCUCUCCCAAGAGUCCAUAUCGACGGGGAGGUUUGGCACCUCGAUGUCGGCUCAUCACAUCCUGGGGCUGAAGUCGGUCCCAAGGGUUGGGCUGUUCGCCCAUUAAAGUGGUACGUGAGCUGGGUUCAGAACGUCGUGAGACAGUUCGGUCCCUAUCCAUCGCGGGCGCAAGAGAUUUGAAGGGGGCUGCUCCUAGUACGAGAGGACCGGAGUGGACGAACCGCUGGUGUACCAAUUAUCCCGCCAGGGGUACAGUUGGGUAGCUACGUUCGGAAAGGAUAAACGCUGAAAGCAUCUAAGCGUGAAACCAGCCUUAAGAUGAGAUCUCUCAUAGAGCAAUCUAGUAAGACACCUUAAAGAAGAUGA
rnacentral:rRNA from 1 species